rnacentral:rRNA from 1 species
AACUAGUGGUGAGUUACGGCUCACCAAGGCGACCGAUUCGUAACCGACCUGAGAGGGUGAUCGGCCACACUGGGGAUUGAGACACGGGCCCAGACUCCUACGGGGAGGCAACAGUAGGGAUCUUCCGCAAUGGGACGAAGUCUGACGGAGCAACGCCGCGUGAGUGAUGAAGGUUUUCGGAUCGUAAAGCUCUGUUGUUAGGGAAGAACAAGUGCCGUUCAAAUAGGGCGGCACCUUGACGGUACCUAACCAGAAAAGCCACGGCUAACUACGUGCCAGCAGCCGCGGUAAUACGUAGGUGGCAAGCGUUGUCCGGAAUUAUUGGGCGUAAAGGGCUCGCAGGCGGUUUCUUAAGUCUGAUGUGAAAGCCCCCCGGCUCAACCGGGGAGGGUCAUUGGAAACUGGGGAACUUGAGUGCAGAAGAGGAGAGUGGAAUUCCACGUGUAGCGGUGAAAUGCGUAGAGAUGUGGAGGAACACCAGUGGCGAAGGCGACUCUCUGGUCUGUAACUGACGCUGAGGAGCGAAAGCGUGGGGAGCGAACAGGAUUAGAUACCCUGGUAGUCCACGCCGUAAACGAUGAGUGCUAAGUGUUAGGGGGUUUCCGCCCCUUAGUGCUGCAGCUAACGCAUUAAGCACUCCGCCUGGGGAGUACGGUCGCAAGACUGAAACUCAAAGGAAUUGACGGGGGCCCGCACAAGCGGUGGAGCAUGUGGUUUAAUUCGAAGCAACGCGAAGAACCUUACCAGGUCUUGACAUCCUCUGACAAUCCUAGAGAUAGGACGUCCCCUUCGGGGGCAGAGUGACAGGUGGUGCAUGGUUGUCGUCAGCUCGUGUCGUGAGAUGUUGGGUUAAGUCCCGCAACGAGCGCAACCCUUGAUCUUAGUUGCCAGCAUUCAGUUGGGCACUCUAAGGUGACUGCCGGUGACAAACCGGAGGAAGGUGGGGAUGACGUCAAAUCAUCAUGCCCCUUAUGACCUGGGCUACACACGUGCUACAAUGGACAGAACAAAGGGCAGCGAAACCGCGAGGUUAAGCCAAUCCCACAAAUCUGUUCUCAGUUCGGAUCGCAGUCUGCAACUCGACUGCGUGAAGCUGGAAUCGCUAGUAAUCGCGGAUCAGCAUGCCGCGGUGAAUACGUUCCCGGGCCUUGUACACACCGCCCGUCACACCACGAGAGUUUGUAACACCCGAAGUCGGUGAGGUAACCUUUAGGAGCCAGCCGCCGAAGUGAACAAAU